UGCACUGAGAGUUCAGAAAAAUAUACAGCUGGCCCCUGCCUUCAAUUAGUUUACAGUAAAACCACUGGAGGGUGGAGAGACUCAACCCAGCAUCUGCCCAACAGUACACAGGCAGCGGAGGAGGGAGCAGCAGAGACAAAGCCCUGCAGAGACUCCUGGGUAGCCAGAAGAUAAACAGCCUUAAAGCCAUCUAUGAUGUGAGAAGGAAAAUGAACCAGCAAGGACAGAAACAAGAUGAUACUGUCUCAAAUUUUGCACUUGGCAACUAUCUGUGUAUUUUUCAGCAGGAAGAUUAACUGGCUUCAGAAUGAACUCAAGAUUCUGAUAAUUAUUAGUGAAAAAAUUAGAUGAGCAACUGUUGGAGGGAGAUCCAACUUUUCCUUAAAUUGUAGAGUGACAACACAGAAUAUCUACUUCCAAGGGUUUCACUACUACCAGCCUGGGGACAAGUUUGAGGCCAGCAAGCAGAGUGGCCUGGGAGGCUGCAAAGUAACCUUGGUCGAGGACCGUGAUAAAAAAUUACUCUUCACCAAAGGAGAAUGAAAUCUAUGUGAGCCAAGAAGAUAUGGUCUGGGCCCUCAUUGUCAGCCAGCAGAACAUGUGCCUGGUGUACCAGUUCCCCAGCCACAUUUCCCUGCAGCUAAAGACUGGGUGCUGGGCAGCAUCCUGGAGCCCCUCACCAAAGCCAGCAGCAGAAACAGUGACAAGAGCCUCAGUAAGUGCUUCAUAACCUUCCCCAGGAGAGGCGCAUGUGGAGUUUUAAAAUUCAAAAGCCAACAGCACAAAAAUGCAAACACAUGGUAGGGAAUUAUAGCUGCUUACUCUGGACAGUGACACUAGAACCAGGGUUUUGAGUGGGGGAACCACAUGCAACAUGUCAUCCAAGCCAGACUGCUGUGAUAUUUUUUUGUUGGUGGUUGGUGAUAAUGAUUUUUCUUUCUUUUCAUUUCUA